rnacentral:lncRNA from 1 species
UAAAGCGGAAAGAAUAAAGCGACAAGAACAAACAAAACACCAGAACACCAGAUAUACGUGGUUCGGUCAAUUGACUUUGACCUACAUCCACGGAAGAAAGAGGAGCAAAUUACUACUAUAAAAGAGGGACACUUACAAAUGCCUUAGGAAAUAUUCCUAGGCCAUAAAACACCUUCAGCUUCCUAAACAAGAAGACUUCAAACCAUAAGCAGGUUUUCUUGUGAUGCCUGCUGUACUUCUUGUGGUAUCUGUGGUACUUCUUGUGGUGUGUCUAACAUCAAAGCUCAGGCCCUUAUUUAUAGUUCCAAGACGAGACAACAAGUCUGAUUUUCCCGAUGUGGGACUAUGGGACUUGCCAAAC